CAUUGACUGACAUUAUAUGACUGACAGACUGCAACGGUUUGAGUUAAAAAUCUUCAUUUGUGUUCUACUGAAGAAACAAAGUCACCUACAUCUUGGAUGCCCUGGGGCUUGCACCUCAAGAGUGGCGUCUGAUUGUUGUGAAUCCCCAGGAUUUGAGAGGCUUUCAAUGAGCUUCACCCACAUCAAGCUGUGCCUGCUGUAGGAAAAGACCUGGACGUUCUACUGAAUUCACAGCUCUGCCACUCAAGCUGAGAGGAAAGCUUGGCAUUAUGGGUUUGGUUUAAAGCUGGGAGCACGCGACAUACCUCAUCAUCUGCACACAUCACCAUCGCUGCUGAAAUACGUCAUCCGUCUGCAAAAUUGUGAUCGCAUCGCCACCAUCUCUCAUGCUGAGACAGCCGGGUUUGAGCUGAGAGGUUUUGUGAGGAGAGGAAUGCAGAAUGGCACGGUUCACAGGAUGUGAUAACGCAAAAAGGCACAGGAUGGAGAAUGCAAACAUUGAGUCCUGGGGCGACUUUGACCUGCCUUUUUCAAAAACAGCACUGUAAGAAUCAAGACAGCAACGAAGUGUUUAGAAUUUAUUUGA